GACGAACGCUGGCGGCGUGCUUAACACAUGCAAGUCGAACGGAAAGGCCCCUUUGGGGGUACUCGAGUGGCGAACGGGUGAGUAACACGUGAGUAACCUGCCCUUGACUUCGGGAUAACUUCAGGAAACUGGGGCUAAUACCGGAUAGGAAUCCUUGCUGCAUGGUGGGGGUUGGAAAGCUUCGGCGGUUUUGGAUGGACUCGCGGCUUAUCAGCUUGUUGGUGGGGUAGUGGCUUACCAAGGCUUUGACGGGUAGCCGGCCUGAGAGGGCGACCGGCCACAUUGGGACUGAGAUACGGCCCAGACUCCGACGGGAGGCAGCAGGGGGGAAUAUUGCACAAUGGGCGGAAGCCGGAUGCAGCAACGCCGCGGGCGGGAUGACGGCCUUCGGGUUGUAAACCGCUUUCAGCAGGGGCGAAGCUUGUGGUGACGGUACCUGCAGAAGAAGCACCGGCUAACUACGUG
rnacentral:rRNA from 1 species